UUGAACGCUGGCGGCAGGCCUCACACAUGCAAGUCGAGCGGAUGAAGGGAGCUUGCUCCUGGAUUCAGCGGCGGACGGGUGAGUAAUGCCUAGGAAUCUGCCUGGUAGUGGGGGAUAACGUCCGGAAACGGGCGCUAAUACCGCAUACGUCCUGAGGGAGAAAGUGGGGGAUCUUCGGACCUCACGCUAUCAGAUGAGCCUAGGUCGGAUUAGCUAGUUGGUGGGGUAAGGGCCUACCAAGGCGACGAUCCGUAACUGGUCUGAGAGGAUGAUCAGUCACACUGGAACUGAGACACGGUCCAGACUCCUACGGGAGGCAGCAGUGGGGAAUAUUGGACAAUGGGCGAAAGCCUGAUCCAGCCAUGCCGCGUGUGUGAAGAAGGUCUUCGGAUUGUAAAGCACUUUAAGUUGGGAGGAAGGGCAGUAAGUUAAUACCUUGCUGUUUUGACGUUACCAACAGAAUAAGCACCGGCUAACUUCGUG
rnacentral:rRNA from 1 species